GAUAGAAUAAUCGCUCAAUAAAUUCCCUUUUUCUAAGAAAAAUGCACCAAUCGUCCACGCACAAACUGGUUUUCCGAGUUCGACGUCACGCCACAUGUUUUCAAA